AACAUAAUUCGGCAACUUUUAUCAUGUGAAAACUUUUUUACAACCCACUGUAAAACUGCGCAAGACAUGCACUUAUUUAUAUUUAGAUAAUUUAUCAUAUUAAAAGGAUUAGAACAAAUGCCAUUGAGGAAUUGUCAUAAAAAGCCUCAUCAAGAAAUAUGUCUCCUUGUGCCAUCUGGUGGUGGAAGACAAUAAAAGUUGUCCUAAAGAAGACCGUCCUCUGAAGGCUGAUGGACCAAAAUCUAAACAAAAAGUGGUGGCUUUGGGCUUCUGCUUCGGACCACAGACCUACCUUCAGUCCAGUUGGAACAUUCUGGACAGUCUGCUGAUGUUAGUGUCUCUGGUGGACAUUUUGGUGACUCUGGCCUACCCUGGAGGUUAGGGCAUUCUCAGGGUACUGCAUCUGCUCCGAGCACUGUGACCUCUCAGGUAUGGCUCGGUACAGUUCUGGGUUGAAGAAAUUAUGUGAUGUAAUAAAAGGAACCAAUUUUUCACUUCUCCUGAUAUCUGCACAUCCAUCUCCUGAGUUCCUUCGGUCUCUUCAGACUCGGAUUUCUGAAAAUCUUUCAAUGCUGUUGGUUGGACAUCAUCUUGCUGUCAAGUCAGUUGUUAUGUUUUGAUCCAGUGAGGUUAAUUUGGUCUUCUAAUAAUUUAUUCUACCAUGUUCUUUAUUUCAGACUAAAAUUCAGUUUGUUUACAAAUCAACUACUGCUAUUAAAUUUAGUUUAGUAGCUGUAGUUUGGUAAGUUAAAGUCUGAAAGUCAAAAAGUCUGAAAAAAAUAAUCAGUUACAAUAACUGAACAAUGUUUAGCUUUUUUUUAGCUAACAAACUAUACAUUUUUGGAAAGCUCUGGCACAUUCCUACGUCAUGGCCCUGGUCACUUCGGGCGAGUUACACUGCAUCAUGUCACUUCCCGCCCACUAUAAGCAUUGCUUUGCGACACUAAUAGGCCCUUCGCCAGCUGCUAGUGCUCAGGCCUAAUACUACUACUACUACUACUACUUCUACUACUACUACUAAUAAUAAUAAUAAAUAACACUUGUAUAGCACUUUUCACAAUACUCAAACAUGCUUUACAUGAGGAGUAACCAAACUGUGUAAUAAAACAUAUUACCGUACCAAAACAUGGAGACUGCAAAUAAAUUAGGUAAAUAAAUGUGUUAUUUAUAAAUUAAGUCUUUUUUUUUUUUUAAACUUGAUCAUCUGAGUAACCCUUGACCUAAACAACAUCAGUGCACCCAUGUCCUCUUCCAUUAUCUCAUCCAUUCCAGAACACGGUGGCCCCUUCCAUAUUCUAUAGUUCUGUUCUGUUCUGCUCCGAGCUGAAUGGAUAUUUUAGCAUGCCCCGCCACAUUCUAGAAUUCAGUGAAUGAAGGGCAACGGCCUCUGUGGGUGCCCUUCAUUGUUUUUUGUUUGUUUGUUUGUGUUUUAUCUUAAAGUUGCAUUGUGUAACUUUUCUGGUGGAGGGUCCAUCAAAUGUUUUUUUCCAUGGAGAUGUUAUUGCUUUGUCUAGAAUAUUUCACAGUAUGAUAUUAACCCUUUUUAUCUGAGCCACAAAACCACCUGUGGAACAUUCCAGGCAGAGCAAUGACAUAUUUAUAGAAACAAUCAGGCACAAAACCCCAACCAAAAAGUUACACUGUGCACCUUUAAAAGAAAAAUACAUACCUGUUGGAUUUAUCGUUAUCAUGUUCACACACCCAGUGUUUCUAUAAUAUUGUGUCUUCAAGUGGAAGACAUCAUUAUAUUCUACAAUCUGGAAAAAUUCAGUGUUUAGAAUGUUGUUGUGUUUGUCUUUUGUGAAAUAUCGAGCAGCAACUGGCGCAGCUGCUCCAGAAAUAGACCCAAAGGUGAGACUAAUGCCAAAAAGAAAACCACUGUAUCUAAACAUAGAAAAAAGAAAAUUUAGUGUCGUAUAAUACUAGUCUACUAAUACUAAUCAUAUGUUUGUGGUUUCAACACAACAGUAAAUCUAGCAAUGUCAGAGGUGCGUAAAUUUCCAGUAGAGGGUCCAACGCCUCCUUGUAUGGAAAUGUUAUUGCUCUGUCUGGAAUGUUUCACCAUAUGGCAAACGUAUCUCUCUCCAUCUGUCUAAUAUUGUCACAUAUUGAAUUUUUUAUUUUCUGCACUGCAAAAAGCAAUAUCUAGGUGAAUUAAAAUUAAUUAAAUUAAGACUAUUUUAAUUUUUUUGACAAACACAAUCAUCUACCAAUGGAUGAUUCUUAAUUUAAGCAACGUGGGACAGAGCAUGUUGAGCUUUGGAGAUGUAGACAGACUAAUAAUUAAUAGGAUUACUCAAAUGUGUGUGAAUGAAAGGUAUGUUUUUGAUGAGUUUUUCUAUAGCAAUAUAUUGUACUUCAAUAUUUUUUUAUUAUGACUAUGAGCUAUGGAAAACCUAGGCAACUUCUAGGCAAUAACAUGAUAACGAGUCAGUACAGACUGUAUAAGGCCUUUGGUACACACCUGUUUCAGGCCGCACCACCAUUUUCACCAACACGGGGGCGCUGUCUUGAUGGAUUCAUUUGAGAGCGACGUCCCAGUGUACAGUAGGAUUCUGGUCUAAAUGCUAGAUAGAUAUGUUUAAUGUCAUACCAUGGAGACAAGCAGGUGGCGAACCCUCAACCAGAAAAGUUGCGCAGUGGACUUUUAAGAUGUGUUAUGCCAAAUGUUGAUCAAAGUUAGUGGGUGACUCUUUUACCCAGCUUUGUUACCAUAAACUGUACUCUACUGAAUUUGUAAUGAAAACAAAUGCAAUAGGCUAUUAUAAUCCAACAAUUAAACGAUAAAAAUACUGACUGGACGCUCAAAAUGUAUCAUACCUAAAUUGGCUCUCAGUCUGGUCCUCUCUCGCCUCGUCGUGUGAUCUUAUUAUUGUCAUUUUGUAUAUUUAAAUCUGUAAGCAAUUGUUUAAUUCUUUAACAUAUUAAGUUUAAAAGAUUUCACAGACUUUCUCUUUUAAUAAACCACGGUGACUUUUUACUACUUGCGCCAUCUUGUGGUAGUAGUGGCAUAAACACACAGCUUUCCUAAGUAUAUUUCAACGUCAAUGUGAUGACAAUUAAACAAGACGAAGACAAGUUCCCAACAGGAUCUUUAAUUCCAGUAACAAACCAUAUUAUUAUUUUCACAACGUCUUAUAAAACAUGUAAACUUUUCCAUUUCCUACAACUUAUUUUUUCCCCCCAUAAUGACAACAGUUAUAAGUUAAUCUACAAAAAGGGUCAGAUACACAUUACUAGUCAAAAAUUUGGAUGCAUUUUUUCAUAAAUGUUUUUCAGUAUUUCCAGGAUUAUUUACAUUGUAGAUUCCCCCUGAAGACAUUAAAAUGUGAAUGGUCACAUAUGAAAUAUAGCAAACAAAAUAUGAGCUCAAAACUUUUCCUGCAUUUGUUGGCAUUUCUUGACUCUGAGACCUCAUCAUGAAGCCACGCCACACAAACGAUGCGCCACGCACCUAACCCUACCAACCCUAACCCCCGACCCUAGCACUUCUAAACUAGCCAUUAAACCUAAUCCUAACUCCUAACCCCUACCUCCUAACCUAACCCUAGUCCUAACCCUAAUUAACCCGUAGCCCAAACCAUAACCCUAGUCCUAUCCCUAACCUUAACCCUAGGUCUUACCCUACCCCUUGUCCUAACCCUGCAAUUUUUCAAAUUUUAUUUUAUGUGUUGAAUUUUUUUUUAAUCUUCUGUAAGGGGCAUGGUCAUAAUAUAUUUUUGUUCCUAUCGCCAUGAUGCAUCUGGUUACCAAAUUUGAUUUGGCUACACCAGUGUGUUUUUUUUUUUUUUUUGUCAGGGUUGGGGUGUCCACCUACGAUUAAAAUUUGAGUGAAAUAAGCCAAAGUCUGGGAGAGUUGGAGAUUUUUCCAUGUGUAUUUAGUUCUGUUACUUAACUUUUUACUAUAUAAUUCUAUGUAUCUUCAUAUAUUUGAUGUCUUUGAUGUAUAUAAAAUGUAUAAAGUAGUAAACAUAAUGAAAAAAAACAUUGAAUAAACGGGUGUAUCCAAACUAUUGACUACUAGUGUAUGUUCUGAUGGUCCAUUAUUCACACACUUAUUAAUUUACUAAAUUAGAGUUUAGGACAGACAGUGCUGGGAAGUGAAUACAUGUACUGAAAAUACAUAUUCUGAACACUAAUUCUGA